AUACAUGCAAGUCGAGCGGACAGAUGGGAGCUUGCUCCCUGAUGUUAGCGGCGGACGGGUGAGUAACACGUGGGUAACCUGCCUGUAAGACUGGGAUAACUCCGGAAAACCGGGGCUAAUACCGGAUGCUUGUUUGAACCGCAUGGUUCAAACAUAAAAGGUGGCUUCGGCUACCACUUACAGAUGGACCCGCGGCGCAUUAGCUAGUUGGUGAGGUAAUGGCUCACCAAGGCGACGAUGCGUAGCCGACCUGAAAGGGUGAU
rnacentral:rRNA from 1 species